rnacentral:rRNA from 1 species
UGGGCUUGACUCCCACGAACCUGCCGAAAGCCGGGAGUGCCCGCAAGGGAGCGCAGAGACAGGUGGUGCAUGGCUGUCGUCAGCUCGUGUCGUGAGAUGUUGGGUUAAGUCCCGCAACGAGCGCAACCCUCACCCUUUGUUGCCAUCAGGUUAUGCUGGGCACUCUAAGGGAACUGCCUCGGUUAACGAGGAGGAAGGUGGGGAUGACGUCAAGUCAUCAUGCCCCUUACGCUCUGGGCUACACACGUGCUACAAUGGCCAAUACAAAGGGCUGCAAACCCGCGAGGGCAAGCCAAUCCCAAAAAAUUGGUCUCAGUCCAGAUUGUAGGCUGCAACCCGCCUGCAUGAAGGAGGAAUCGCUAGUAAUCGUGGAUCAGCAUGCCACGGUGAAUACGUUCCCGGGCCUUGUACACACCGCCCGUCACACCACGAAAGUCUGCUGUACUCGAAGUCGCUGAGAAUCUC